rnacentral:rRNA from 1 species
AUACGGAGGGUGCAAGCGUUGUUCGGAAUCACUGGGCGUAAAGGGCGCGCAGGCGGUUUGGUAAGUCAGAUGUGAAAGCCCAUGGCUCAACCAUGGAAGUGCAUUUGAAACUGUCAGACUUGAGUACUGGAGGGGAAAGUGGAAUUCCCGGUGUAGAGGUGAAAUUCGUAGAUAUCGGGAGGAAUACCGGUGGCGAAGGCGACUUUCUGGCUAGAUACUGACGCUGAGGCGCGAAAGCGUGGGGAGCAAACAGAAUUAGAAACCCUAGUAGUCC